ACGCUCGACACCUACGGAGGCAGCAGUGGGGAAUAUUGCACAAUGGAGGAAACUCUGAUGCAGCGAUGCCGCGUGAGGGAAGAAGGUUUUCGGAUUGUAAACCUCUGUCUUUGGGGACGAUAAUGACGGUACCCAAGGAGGAAGCUCCGGCUAACUACGUGCCAGCAGCCCGGUAAUCUGAGCGGGCUGGCAAGGC
rnacentral:rRNA from 1 species